AUGGAGGUGGCGUCUUGCAUGGAAGCACUUGUGAAGCUAUAGUGUGCACUCUGGCUGCAGCAAGAGACAAGGUCUUGAAAAGAAUGGGAUGGGAUAAAAUCACAAAGUUGGUGGUCUAUGCCUCUGAUCAAACACAUGCCACUCUCCAUAAGGGAACCAAAUUAGUUGGUAUCCCAUCCUCCAACAUCCGCUCCCUCUCUACCUCAUUUUCAUCUGGUUUUUCCUUAUCACCUCAAACCCUGCAGGGUUUGAGGU
rnacentral:misc_RNA from 1 species